rnacentral:rRNA from 13 species
UGGGGAGGGGCUGGCACCCGGUGAUCCAGAGAUCUCCGAAUGGGGCAACCCGGCGACCGUGAUGGGUCGUCACCCGACCAGCUUGGCUGGCGGGAGGGCACCGGGGGAACUGAAACAUCUCAGUACCUCGAGGAACAGAGAGGAUUCCCGGAGUAGCGGCGAGCGAAACGGGAGGAGCCCAAACCGGGCC